CACGUUGAAACCGAGUUACUGAUUUUCUCCUACUAUACUGUGCUGUUCUGUGUCCAUGAGAGUCUGUCAGCAGUUUGCUGUCUUAGCUGCCACCUUCCUCUUCUUCUCGGUCUUCAUUCGACAGUCACAGUGGAAAGAUUUGAACCUCUAGCUUUUUUUGCUUCGACGCUGUACAGUGGCUGAAUCAGACUUGCUGCCACUAAGCCUUGUUGAGGAAUCUAAUGGCGUCAUUGGAAUUAAGAUAGUAUAGCAGACCCUGCACCUCCAGCUGACCAUUGAAGGCCUUCUUGUUUUUGAAAAAAAAAAAAAAGCAGAAGCACAUGGUGACUAUCUUUUUUGGUGAAGUUUCAUUCUGUGUUUUGUAAACUAUAAGCUAACUCCACGUACCUUAUGAUUAGGCAUUAAUCCCUUUUGGUUAUGAUGUAAACUGCUAAAAUAGAAAUAGUCUCCUUGUUGGUUGGGCUGACAGGUUUUGUUGUUGUUGUGAAAAUUUUGGAAGAGUUAAAUUAUAGGAGAGACUCUGCCGAAAUUUUCACAAAACAUUUAGACUUUGCUAAC